rnacentral:hammerhead_ribozyme from 1 species
AUCCAUCUGACAAGUCCCAAAUAGGACGAAAUGCGCAUCCUGGAU